CAGCUGCGGACGGAGGGGAGUAAUUUAUUACAAACAGUGGCCCGAGCGCGCUGGCGCAGCGGAGUCCGGGCUCCUUUCAGCAGCACCGCAGCGGGGUGGCUAGACCCCCUCCCCCUCAGGAUGCCGGCUGGGGAGGCGGCUCGCUCCCAGGUGCCGGAGUUCUCUGUUCUACUGAGCCUCUUCUUGACUCUGUCCUGCACAAUAGAAGUAUUUGAAAUAUUACAAAGGGAGAAAUAAGUGCAACUGAUGACUUCUACAGACUCUCUUUAAUGUUAAGUGAACUUAAACAGCAGAAAAAGUAGCUCAAGAAAACAAACCCCAAUGGGUAUAUUUUGAUUUUUAUCUGUAUUCUUCUCCUUCGACAUCUGUGGCAAGAACUUCCAUGCAGUAGUCUUCUAGCCUAGCAUAUCUGCAUGCAUAUGUGAGGAGAACCUUACAAGUGUCCUUAUUGUGACCAGAGAACGUCCCAGGAAGAAUUGAGACGUCACAUUAAUACAUGAUAGGGAACGAAACCUAGGAAAUAUGCCAACUCAACCCCUUUUAGUAUAUAUGGAGGGACCAGAUGGGAUAGCCAGUACUGUUGGUGCACAGAUGGAGAAUAAUGAUGCCUCGAUGCCGAUAAAAGGGACCAACACAAUUUCUUACAAAAAUGUGCAAGAAAAGUUCUUGAUGCAAGCGGAGGGGUGUAUGUCUUUGGAUUGCAUGUUUUGUGAUCAGACUUUUAAACAUCCUGAAGAACUUGGUAAGCAUGUCCUAACUCAACAUAGACCAACGCUUUGUGAACCAGCAGUUCUGCGUGUCGAAGCAGAAUAUCUUAGUCCUCUUGAUAAAUGUCAAGUUAGAACAGACUUGCCAUCACCAGAAAAUAAUGAAAAGGACAAUGAAGAAUUUAGCUGUGAAGUUUGUGGGCAAACGUUUGAUGAAGCUUUUGAUGUUGAGACUCACAUGAAAAAGCAUAAGGACUCUUUCACAUAUUGGUGUAAUGUAUGUGGAAGAAGAUUUAAAGAGCCUUGGUUCCUCAAAAAUCACAUGAGAACGCAUACUGGUAAACCUGGUUCAAGAAAUAAGCUUCAACAAGGUUCUGAAAGCCCAGUAACAAUUAAUGAGGUGGUACAGGAGCAUGUAACUGAAAAUGUAACAUCACCUUACAAAAUCUGCAUGGUUUGUGGUUUCCUAUUUCUCAAUAAAGAGAACUUAAUUGAGCACAGUAAAGUGCACACCAAAGAGUCAGCAUCCAAUGGUGAUAGCCCACAAGUCACUGAUGGAGCCAAUAAAGGAGGAGUGACUCAGAGAGAAGAAUUUCUGCAAUUUUUGAACUUAAGACCAAAUGUGACUCCAGAAAAGAGAAAAUCAGAAAAACCUGUGAAAUGGAUAGCUGAACUGGAUCCAUUCAAUACAUAUCAAGCAUGGCAGCUCGCAACCAAAGGUAAAGUUGCUAUUGGCCAUGGACAGAUUAAAGAACCAGGGCAAGAAGGGAGUACAGACAAUGAUGAUUCAUCAUCUGAUAAAGAAGAACUUGGUGAAAUUUGGAAUACAAAUAAAGGUAGCCAGGUUAGUCAGACUGAAAAUGCUGGGAAGUCAAAGGUAAAUAAAAGUAGCAGUUGUCCAGGAAAUGGUACCCUGUCCCAAGACAAACUGAAACAUCCCAGUGGUGAAGUGCCUUCUAUGGAGAUGGAUCCUAAAUUGUCACAAAACAAAGAGAAACCAACACACUGCUCAGAGUGUGGCAAAGCCUUUAGAACAUACCACCAGCUAGUUCUUCAUUCAAGAGUACAUAAGAGAGAUAGGAGGACUGAUGUAGAGACUUCAGCCACUUCUAGAACAUGCUGUGCAGACUUAAUUGUAACCCUACAUGAAAAUGGAGUAGUAGACCGAACAGAGGGAGGCUCUGAAGAUGGAUCUGAAGAUGGACUACCAGACACACUGCAUUUGGAUAAAAAUGAAGAUGGCUUGGAAAGAGCAAGAGUUAAAAACCUUGGGGCCUCCAGAGAAUGCAGCUAUUGUGGGAAAUAUUUCCGCUCAAAUUAUUACCUCAAUAUUCAUCUCAGAACUCAUACAGGUGAAAAACCAUACAAAUGUGAAUUUUGUGAGUAUGCAGCAGCCCAGAAAACUUCAUUGAGGUAUCACUUAGAGAGGCAUCACAAGGAGAAGCAGGCCGAUGUUGCAACAGAUGUGAAAAGUGACAGCAAAGUUUUGUUACAAAGUCAGGAGAUGAACCUCCUGUCAGCCACUGAUGGUGCUCAAGAAACCAAAAACUUAAAAAGGUUUAUUGACGGUGCCAAAGAUGCAAAGGGCUGCCCACCUGUAAAGCAACAAAAAGAGAUAUUUUCUUCCUUUCAGAGCAUAUUGAGUGGUCCAGUCAUCUUGACCAUGAAAAAUGAUACUCAGGACUCAAAGAAGGGUGCAGUUGGUAAUAGCUCAAAUCAAAUGAAUGAGAAUUCAGACGCUUCUUACCUGGAAAAGCUAAAAGCAGAGGAAGAAUUAAUGGAAUCGCAGGCAAAUGAUUCCAAUGAUAAAAAAGAGAGAGAUGCUUUAGUGACAGUGGAAGGAGAUGAUAUCCAGUUGAUUCGUGCCUUAAAGGACAAAAAUAACAUGGAAGAAAUGAGAGAGAGCGCCGAAAAAUGCGCAAACAAGCAUAUAGUGGGCUCUCAAGAAAAGCCGUUAAAUUUAUCUACUGGGACAGUGCAAGAAUGUUCAGUGAUCUCAACUGCUAGAGGCUUGUUAGCAACCAGCACCUGCCCGUUUUGUACUUAUAGAACAUUUUAUCCAGAAGUCCUAAUGAUACACCAGAGGUUGAUGCAUAAAUACAAUCCUGACACUGUUAACAAAAAUGGUUACAGAAACAAAGCUUUGGCUAAAGCCAGGCGUACUGGAUGCCCACCAGCUCUUCUUGGUAAAGAUGUGCUUCCCCUGACUCUUAACCCUAAUAAAAGCAAGGCUUCCCUAUCUAUGCAACCAAAACAGUUGCAUACAGAGAAGACUAAACAGUGUCCCCUUCUACAGAGCAAAGUCCCUGUUUUUCCAAUGGUAGAUUCCAGCAGUUCAACACCAAGUAACUUGAAGUCUUACAAACCACAAAGCAUUGGAGCUCAGGCGAGUAGCUGUCGGCAACCACAGCAAGAUUUGCACUCAAAUCCUAGUAUUUCUUCAGUAAUGGAUAGAGUAAAAAAAGGUGAAGCUAAAGCAAAAACUCUAAAUAUAUCAGCUUCUCAACCUGGUGUAGUUAGUAGCAGUAUCAAUAGCUCCUAUGAUUCUCCCCUUAGUGAAUCUGCCUGGUUCAGUAAUCGAGGAAGAGAAUAUCUCUGCAAUAGAUCUGCGGGUCACAUAAACUUAGAAUUUGGUGAACCGUCUUCUAAAAGAGUGAAACCUAAUCUGUUAGCUCUUGAACACAUUGACUCUGCAAGGGUUAAUUACAGAAGAUAUGACAUGAGCAGAUCUCGUGUUGCAAACAGAUAUGCAAAUCUGUUACCUCAGGAAUGUUCACAUGCCAAACCUGCAUCCUCUGUUUUGCCAACCAAACAAGGGCUUCUGAAUUCAGAUGAAGUUGAUUCUCGAAAUGUACUGACUAUUCUGAAAACCUAUGAGCCGUAUAGCCCUGGACCACUUUAUGGUUCUUUUGGACCUAGCAAUGGCCAAGCAACCAGCUCUCCAAUAGAAGGGCAUUUUACAAAGGCUUGAAGACAUUUCACCAGCUGAGAAUGAAGAUGAGCUGGAAGUUGGAGUUUAUUAUUCUUGAAGGAUGCAGAGUUUUGCAUUGACCAUGCACAACUGCAAUGGAGAAGAUGGUAGGAGAGAAGCUGGAGAUUGCCGCAAACAGUGGGGAGGGCACCCAAGCUUUCAGCACCCAAGAAUGCACGACAGGCAGUCAGAUGGUGGCAGGGCACGCUGAUGAGAAUGCGCCAGACCUAAUCAUAGACAUGUGUGCGAUGGUAUCACAAUUGAUAUGAGAGAAUUCCGAUUGCUGCUGAGUCCCCACAACUCCUAUUGAAGCCAAUGGUCCAAAUUUGGGGAGCUGUUGAGAGGAUUCAUUUUAAUGAAAGUUGCUGGUACCCAGCACCUCUCAGGAUCUGGCUUUCAACAAUCUUUGAAAGGUAUUUUAUGGUCUUUCCCAUUCUAUCUCACUGCAAAUCCACUCUACCAUGAUGAUUUCCAAGGUCUUCAUUUGGUUUAUUGCCAAUGCAACUACUAGCACUGCCACCAUGAAAAAAGACACUGCAUUUCUGCUUCUACGUUAGCCAAUAUUGUAUCUAGAAUUAUCAGUGUGCCCCCUCCAAACCAUUUCUCUCACAGGCCAAGCUACAUGUCUACAAUGGAGCACUUUUCACACACAUCCUAUACCCAAUUUUGUUUAAAAGACUCCAUAAUUAUGUUGUAAACAACUGAGACAUAAAUACACCAACACACAUGUAAUGGAGUGGCCCACUACAUCUCCUUAAGUCCAUAGACCAGAUUUUUUCCCCCUCUUUCAACUUUCCAAAUGCCUUCACUUGUCCUCUAACCUCAACCAUUUUAGGGUAAAAUGUGUCCAUUUUGCAAAAUACUCUGAUCCCAAAAUUUCUCCUACUUUGUUAUUUUCAAGUUUUGUUUAUACCAAAUAUAGUUUUACCAAUUUUCACUUUUCAUUCUGUAUAAACCUUGAUAAGAAAACCCUCCUUCUUGAAUAUUCAUUCAUUCAAAUUAAUGGGCAUUUGCUUGGAAUGUUGUUGUUUCCAUGCCCCUCCCCCCAACCAUGAGUAUUGGCAGAUCAAAAGUUCACAGAAGUAUUCUGGUGCAAUUUGUAAAUCAACUGCAAAGAACAGUGUGCAUUGCUACAUUUCUAAUGGGUUACAAUUGAAAUGCUACAUUUUCAUUUUCCACUGACAAUGAAAAACACCAAGUAAUAUACUAAGGCCAAAAAUUAUUGCUGGAACUUAUGAGCAAGUCAUUUCCUAACAGCUUUGUUCCUUGAAUGCUGUCUUAUCAAAAGUGCCCAGGAUUUUAUUGAAGUGAACUGGUCUAAUGAAAAAAGAGCAUAUGAUGAACAGGCUUGACUGCAAGCUCAAUUCCAUUCUCCAUACUUCCAAUUGGGUUUUAUCAGUAAAAUAGCCAUAAGCUAUUCCAGGUAGCCACGAAUGAAAAUACCAACUACGAUUCUUCUUGGAGGGCAUGGUUGUUUGGCAUAUAUUGUAGAUGGCAUAUAUAUAUAAAUGAACAGACAGAACAUCCCUCUUCAUUGUGAAGAAAGAGUGCAUUCCAAAUAAUCUAAGAACAAUAAAAAUAAUUAUUAGCCUUUAAUUGUCCAGCCGGGCAGAUUUAACACAAAAUGAGGUCAUAAAGUUAGACUUCUAAAUAUGGACAUUGGCAUAAAUACAGACCCCCCUGAUUUUCAAAAGAAGAGAGCACACAACAGAUCCAACUGAAGUGUUGUGGGGUCUAGAAUUAGCUGUUCCAAGAAGUUACUGUUUAAAUUGUCAAGAAAUUGAUUCUUUAAACCUUGUUUUGAUCUGACAUAUAAUCAGUUUACGUGGGGCAGUUGAAGUCACCAACUAUUGCAUCUUUAUUAGGCUUAGUUGCCUUUUGAUCUGCUUUAAAACCAUGCAAUAUCAUUUUUCCCUAAUAAAGUUGUUAGUUUUACCCUAUUAUACAUCUGUAUUUUUAUGACUUUGGAUUUCUGUUCUUUUGAUCUCAUGGAUACAGAUUGAGACGGAAUUACAGUAACAGAUCAGGCUGCCUCACAGUAUCUAGAGUAAAUAAGGUUGAGUGACUCAUAGUUUCACAGUUAUAAGGUGGCUUACACACUUUGGUAAGCAGUCAUCCAGCAGACAUAGCCAUAAUGCAUAUUCAGGUGCCAGACUUGUCAGUUUUUCCUCCCUCUCCCCCAGGGCUGGGGAGUUAAUUAGCACUGACUAUUCUGUGGCAAACAAGUGUUGAGAUCCUGGUAGGAGAAAAAUCUAUUGCAAGGUGAGUUCUGCCAUUCUCUUUUUAAAAACAUUACUCUAAGGAUAAGUCUAUACUGCAACUGAUAGCUUGCCUCUGAGCUUGGGUAGACAAACAUAUGCUAGCUUGGCUGGAGCUAGUGUGCUAAAAAUAGUAACAUGGAAUUGACUUUGCAGGAUGGGCGGAUGCUCAAGUUAGCCAGUAUGGACCCAGGCCGGCAGACCGGCUUGUAUUUGAGAGGGCUAGCUUGUGCCAUCACCUGUGCCACAACAUCCAUGCUGCUUUUUUUUAGCACAUUAGCUCAAGCAGAAGUAGCAUACGUCUCUCUACCCAGGCCAGAAGGCAGAGUAGACUUAAUGGGCCAAAUUCAGACCUAAUGAAUGGGAGUACAACUCCACUAAACUUAAUGGAGCUGCAACCACUUAAGCCAGAGCAGAAUUUGGGCUAUGCUAGUUUAAAAUGUAAGAUACAUUUAGAGCUGUGAAAAUAACCGGUUUUUCAAUUUGGUGGCCAAACUGAGAAAUUGAUUUAAAAAAAAAAUUCACUUAAAAAAGAUUGUAUCCAAUCAAAUGGAAUGUUUCAUAUGAUCUGAUGAUUACGAUUAUUUUUAAAAUAAUUUUAGAAAAAUGGAAGUAAAAUUCGAAAUGAAAACCUUUAAUCGAAAAUUCAAAAUGUUUCAUUUAGAAAAUGUCGGGCAACAUGUUUUGAUUUUUUGGGAUGUCCCCCCAUUUUCCAACUAAUUGAAACAAUUCAGCAAAUUCAACAAAAUUCAUGAAAUUUUUCAUUCAGCCCAAAUCUGCAUUUUCUGGAAAAAGAAGUUUUGUCCAAAAUUUUCCCCUCAGCUCUAGGUAGAUUCUACCAUUUUCUCUGUGUCCACCACAGAGCAGGAGUCACAUAUGUAAUAGGGAGGCCCAAUCUGGGAAUGGUGGGGAAGGAAUUCUUCCCCUCCGAGUGUUGAGCUCAGGUGUAAGGUCCCAGCCCUUGGGACCAGUGCAAUCCUCUUCCAAAAGGGGAAGAGUUGAUAGAUCUUCAUAGUUGUGGUUCAACCAACUCUGUCCCUCCCUCAGACUGUCCCUCUACAAAACCUCCUGGCAGCACACAGAGGCCCUUCAAAUCCUGUCCCACACAGCCCACUCCAUACACCCACCAAACUUUGCAAUGGAACUUCAUUGGUUCUGUAGUUCCAGGAUUCUCCAUGGUUGUAGGGUGUGUGUCCAAUACUGUGGCACCCAAUACUGACCCAGCCAGGGGAGUUAUCCUACUUUCCUCAACACAACUUUUCAAAAUUCCCCUUGCAUUUUCAAUCAGUAGCCAUUAAACUUGAACCUUCCUUGAACAGGAAUAUAGGUCACAUCACAGGCUGCUGCCAAAAAAGGCUCUGUGGUGUUAUGCUGCCACUUACAAGGUCCGCUUGAGUGGCAUAUGCAGCCCUCUUACCCUAACUAUAAAAAUCCUAGACCCACUUUGCACUCUGGUAAAAGGCUGCUGGCACUCCCCUGCCUAGUUUUUUAAGUUAUUAUCUUGGACCCAUUACUGGCUUGAUAUAGCUCAGUCAUUUAUAACAAACCAACCUAGACUUUAAUUAAUAUGCCCCUUUUUGAAAGCGACUAUCCCAGCAACUUCUAAAGGAAGUUAAUAUAUAUUCCCUUAAAAAAAUAUCAACAGCUAGAUGAGGCACUAAAGCUAAAAAUUAAGAAUUGAUGUGCUUGGGGUUUAUAAUAUUCAUUAAUGUUGCCAAUUAUACCUUGUUUAAGGAAAUUUGUUACAGGGAGAGAUGACUUCUCUGCUUUUGCAAGGAUGUGAAAACACACAGUCAGCAUGCACAGAAAGAGGCUGGAUAAUUUUUAUGAUCAACAUCAUCUGUAGUUAUUCAUGUUAAGAUAAGGAUAAUCAAAUCUCAUGCUUCAGGGUGUAAAACGGAUUGCUGUAAGGGUCAGGAAGUAAUUGUUUUCUUCCCAUGUAAAGACCUGCACAAUUGGCUAGAGAUAUGAUUCAAAGUAAGAAAGGGUUACUAUCCUAUAAUUCAGUUGAUAUUUGGCCGCCUGGUCCAGGAUAGCAGAUUUGAUGUACCAACUAGUAUUGCCAUAUAAGAUUCACAACUCCACCAACCCCCGUCCCCCUGUCUGCUCCACAUAUUCUGUACAGCAAUGGAUAAAUUUCACAACAUGAGGAAAAAACACAUCCGCCAAUACUUUCUGUGUGGUUUUACACACACAUAUAUAAUGUGUAUACACGUAUAUACACCUACACACACCUAUUUUAUAUUACAUAUACAUUACAUAUACAUCUAGCAAAAAUUACUUGAAGUUUGAAGAAGACACCUAGUAACUUGAUUAUAUGUACAUUCCAUAGUACAUUUUACAAUUACGCUAGGACUAUCCUACUUCACUGCACCUUAGAUUGCCAAUAUGACUAGAUUAAUUAAAGCACGUCCAGCAAAAUGAGUACAAACUAUAGAGAGGAAGCUUACCGCGUGUCUGCACUUGAUCACAUUGUUUUGUUAGUCAGUGGCCUAUGACGUUUCCUACUGAAUAACAGAGAGAGCUGAAGAAGUUUUCCUUUCAAGGGAUUCACAAGCACAAUAAGAUAUUUACUGUAUUUAUCGCAGAGAUCAAACCCGCACACAGAUGUCACAUUUCUUGAAUUCCAUCAGUAGAUCAGACAAGCAGUCUCUGGAAAGAGGACAUUACAGCCAGAAAGUUCAGAGCAUACAGGCUUUGAGGGCCAUUCCUGUCCCAUUUUCUGUCAUGCACCCUGAGCCUUUGUUGUCUCCGCAAUGCUGAUAAAUCAAUCCAUCAAAAAAUUUCCUCAGUGAAACUCAAUCAAGAAAGGUCAUGUCAGCGGGAGAGGAACAGAUUAAAUUAGCAUCAAAUUAGACAUGGAAAGUGAGUUCUGUCAAAAUCAUCACAGCGCUCAGCACAAUUAGAAUAUGUUAAUUAUGCAUUUCAUUAAGGUAGUGCUCUUUGAAUGCGAGAUGAAAUGUCAGUGGUGUAGGCAUCCGAAAAAAGGAAGAUUGCCAGGCACAACUUUCUCUAGACAAUGUGUGACACCUUCAUUAACAUCAAGAAUCACAAGUCUGUCUUGACUUUUUUGUAAAGUAUUAAACCGUUAACUGUUUGCUGGCUCUCUCCACUUCCUUUCACAUUCUUUUUUUGUAAAGUAUUAAACCAUUAACUGUUUGCUGGCUCUCUCUACUUCCAUUCACAUUCCCCUCUUGAUAAGCUGCAAGACUAGCUUUCUCUCACUGCCAAAGCCCCUGGGAUGACUGCGAGUGUCCGGCGGGUACCAAAAAAGUAGCAGCA